AUUGAACGCUGGCGGCAUGCCUUACACAUGCAAGUCGAACGGCAGCACGGGUGCUUGCACCUGUUGGCGAGUGGCGAACGGGUGAGUAAUACAUCGGCACAUGUACUGUCGUGGGGGAUAGCGCGGCGAAAGCCGGAUUAAUACCGCUACCGAUCACCGGCUGCAAGCGGGGGACCUUCGGCCCUCGCGCUAUCGGGUUGGCCGAUGGCUGAUUAGCUAGUUGGUGGGGUAAAGGCCCACCAAGGCGACGACCAGUAGCUGGUCUGAGAGGACGACCAGCCACACUGGAACUGAGACACGGCCCAGACUCCUACGGGAGGCAGCAGUGGGGAAUUUUGGACAAUGGGCGAAAGCCUGAUCCAGCAAUGCCGCGUGUGUGAAGAAGGCCUUCGGGUUGUAAAGCACUUUUGUCCGGAAAGAAAAGCUGGACGCUAAUACAGUCGGGGGAUGACGGUACCGGAAGAAUAAGCACCGGCUAACUACGUG
rnacentral:rRNA from 1 species